GAUGAACGCUGGCGGCGUGCCUAAUACAUGCAAGUCGAGCGAACAGAUGAGGAGCUUGCUCCUCUGACGUUAGCGGCGGACGGGUGAGUAACACGUGGAUAACCUACCUAUAAGACUGGGAUAACUUCGGGAAACCGGAGCUAAUACCGGAUAAUAUAUUGAACCGCAUGGUUCAAUAGUGAAAGACGGUUUUGCUGUCACUUAUAGAUGGAUCCGCGCCGCAUUAGCUAGUUGGUAAGGUAACGGCUUACCAAGGCAACGAUGCGUAGCCGACCUGAGAGGGUGAUCGGCCACACGGGAAGGGGUACACGGUCCAGACGCCUACGGGAGGCAGCAGUAGGGAAUCGUCCGCAAUGGGCGAGAGCCUGACGGAGCAACGCCGCGUGAGUGAUGAAGGUCUUCGGAUCGUAAAACUCUGUUAUGAGGGAAGAACAAAUGUGUAAGUAACUAUGCACGUCUUGACGGUACCUAAUCAGAAAGCCACGGCUAACUACGUG
rnacentral:rRNA from 1 species